rnacentral:rRNA from 1 species
AAACAUCUCUUUAUGAAUAAAAUAAUAAGUUGACUCUGCUCUAUGAAUAUUAAAUGGCUGCAGUAUUUUAACUGUACAAAGGUAGCAUAAUAAAUUGGUUUUUAAUUAAAAUCUUGUAUGAAAGAGGUGAUGAAAUAUAAACUUUAUUAUAUUUAAAUAUUGAAUUUUAUUUUAAAGUAAAAAAGCUUUAAUUUUUUUAAGGGACGAGAAGACCCUAUAGAAUUUAAUAUAAUAAUUAUUAUAUAAUGUAUUAAUUAUUAUAUUUGUUUGGGAGGAAUAUUAAAUUUUUAAACUUUAAUUUUUAAAUUACAUAAAUAAAUGAAUUAAAUAGAAUUUAUAAUUUAAAUAAAAAAUUAAAUUACCUUAGGGAUAACAGCGUAAUAUUUUUUUAUAGUUCUUAUUGAAAAAAAUGUUU